UCAUACAUUUCAACACAAGACCUGCAGCUUCCCAGAAAUCACGUGAUAUUAAGGAGCUCUCAUUUUAGUGUUCAGCAAGCAAAAAAACUGAUGCACUCUAGCAAGAAGGUGGAAUAAUCCAGGGACCCAUCCAGCACCCUGUCACUCACAUGUGAUCACAGCAGUAUAGCAAAUGGCAAAGAACCAGUCAAUUGACAAUUGACAAUGAAGUUCCGCCCUACUUUUUUUUCUCACUCAGUAAGCUGUUUCCCUUGGAGAUGCAUCACAAAAGGAAAGAAAAAACAAUUUCCGUUUCAUGUAAACUUUAUUCUUGCAUAAACAUAGAUAUAUUAAAAUAAAUACAAUAUUAAUUCAA